CAGCUACUGACCACAGGCCAUAGCAGACCUAAAGUACUGUUGAGUUGGAAUGAUGCAGAACUACAAAGAUGAAGGUACAGUACUUCAAUGGAGAGAUGAUCUUCGGAAGUACCAACCAUUGGCUGAGAAAAGGGAACGACAAGAAGAAAUAAAAUGUAGUUUACCGCUAUACCAUAACGCUCUGUAUAUGGCUCUACACUAUCAAAUUUUAUGUGACAAUUUUGUGUGAUGUGAUCAUACUGUAUAUGGCCAUAAUAAUGAUGAUAUAUUCGUACAAGCUUAAGCAACUUUGCAAUCUGUACACAUUUGGGCUAAUAACAUCAUAUUCUAUGUUAUCUUAGGUAUUGCUCUCAACUAAAAUCCAUCAACAAAAAUAAACAUUUUUUUUUAUGAGUAAUAUAAUAAUGUCAUUCAAGGUAAUAAAUUAUGAAUUUAUAAAAAAAAUUAAUUCUGAAUUAACAAUUUAAUGAUAAAACAUGGUCGCUGUCAUGUGGUUUGAGUAGAGGGGGUAUAAGUUUGUGUCCAAAGCAACAAAGGUUGGUAUCAAAUAUUGACCAUUAUUUCAAUUAAUGUAACAUUAUAUAAACACUUGGCUUCCUAAUUCCAAGAUGAUCCACUUAGAAACAGAGACAUGGAGUAGAAAAUUGCACUCUCAGUCUACCAACAAGCCUAGGCCCGAGGCUAGGCCCAAGACUAGGCCUAGGCUAUACAGUAGGUAGCAGGGUACCAGACAACACUUCGGCCCAAAACCAACUCGGCCCAGAAGACAACCACUCAAAUGAUAUGGAAUUACCCAGAUGAAUAGCGAUCGCGAUUACCUAGUACCCAAAGACAAUAUUAUUAUUUUAGUAUUAUUAUAAAUUAAUAAUUAUAUUUAUAGGCCUAGGUCUAAUAUUAUUUUUUAGUAAUAGUAUAACUAUUCUUAAAUUAUUUAUAUUAUCCAAAUUAAAUUAUAAUAAUUAUUAAUAUCAUAGGAUAGGCCUAAUAUUAUUUUUCAUUAGGCCUAUUACUAUUCUUAUUACUUAUUUUUUAUAUUAUCCAAAUUAUUACUAGUCACAUUAAUUAUCUUUUAGAAGAAUCUUAACAUUUAUAAAAUAAUGUAUAUUUGCUUUGUAUGAAUAUAAAGCAAAACAAAAUACACGAAUAGGCCUAUACAGAUUUAUUCAGGUACAUUUAAUUCAAACUGGCUAAUAAUAAUAUACAAAGUUUUUUUUCAAUUCACGAAUGAAAAGUUUUAAAGUAAACAGUAGGCCUACUGUUAUUUUAGGCUGGCUGCCCCAGCAGGAGUUUUUUUGUUUUUUUGUGUUUUUUUCAGUAAAUCUAAACACUUUGGAAUUAAACAGGUGCACUACUGUUAUUUCUGGUAAUUUUGUUGGUAAACUUUUUGGCAACACCCAAUAUGUUUUUCGAUGAACACAGCACCUUGCAAAAACUGACAAUAAAAGUCAACUAUUCAAUUCACAACACGGGUACCACCCAACUAUUUAAUAACCGAGUGGGUUUGGGGCCGAGUUGGUUUUGGGCCGAAGUGUCGUCUGGGGCCGAGUUGGUUUUGGUCCAAGUUGGUUUUGGCCAAAUUGAUUUGGGACGAUUUGAUUUUGGGCCGAAGUGACCAGCAUUCUAGGCUAUAUAGGCCUAGGCCCCUAGGAUUAUAAAAUGGUCCACAUUUCUUUCUUUUUUUCGUCUUUUAAUUUUUUGUAAACUCAUCAGUCUAGGACCUAGGCCUAGGGCUAGGAGUCAUAAGUAUAGGCCUAGGCCUAUUCCUAGCCUAGACCACUGUAACGGGAGUUACUAUUAAUUGUUAUUGUUUUGCAUUGUGGGUAAGUGACGUAAUGUCACAUGAUGAGUUACCGCGGGAAGGCGGUAGACAGACUAUGGUGAUGCCUCGUUGCGAGAAUAAAAUGAUGUUCAUACAUGCUAA